rnacentral:rRNA from 1 species
UGGGGGAUAUUGCACAAUGGGCGAAAGCCUGAUGCAGCGACGCCGCGUGGGGGAUGAAGGCCUUCGGGUUGUAAACUUCUUUUGCUCUGAACAAGGCAUGCCUUUGGGGUGUGUUGAGUGUAGGGGUUGAUUAGCGCCGGCUAACUACGUGCCAGCAGCCGCGGUAAUACGUAGGGCGCGAGCGUUGUCCGGAAUUAUUGGGCGUAAAGGGCUUGUAGGUGGGUGGUUGCGUCUGUCGUGAAAGCUCAUGGCUUAACUGUGGGUUUGCGGUGGGUACGGGCUGGCUUGAGUGCAGUAGGGGAGGCUGGAAUUCCUGGUGUAGCGGUGGAAUGCGCAGAUAUCAGGAGGAAUACCGGUGGCGAAGGCGGGUCUCUGGGCUGUUACUGACGCUGAGGAGCGAAAGCGUGGGGAGCGAACAGG